AGAAUCAACGCUGGCGGCGUGCCUAACACAUGCAAGUCGAACGCGAAAGCCCCGAAAGGGGCAAGUAGAGUGGCAAACGGGUGAGUAACACGUGGGUGACCUGCCUUCGAGCGGGGGAUAACGUCCCGAAAGGGACGCUAAUACCGCAUAACAUCCUGCCUUUGAAGAGGUGGAGAUCAAAGCUGGGGAUCGCAAGACCCGGCACUUGAAGAGGGGCCCGCGUCUGAUUAGCUAGGUUGGUGGGUAACGCCUACCGAAGGCAACGAUCAGUA
rnacentral:rRNA from 1 species